rnacentral:rRNA from 1 species
UACAGAGGGGGCAAGCGUUAUUCGGAAUUAUUGGGCGUAAAGGGCGCGUAGGCGGCUUUGCAAGUGGCGGGUGAAAUCCCUCGGCUUAACCGAGGAACUGCCUGUCAAACUGCAUGGCUUGAGACCAGGAGAGGUGAGUGGAAUUCCCAGUGUAGCGGUGAAAUGCGUAGAUAUUGGGAGGAACACCAGUGGCGAAGGCGGCUCACUGGACUGGUACUGACGCUGAUGCGCGAAAGCGUGGGUAGCAAACAGG